AUGUGGGUGACGUCGAUGCCGCAGGUGUGGGACGAGGAGGCGAGGAGCCGCAAGGGCGACGACAUGAUGUCGCCGGCGCCGGCGGCCGCCAUGCUGGGGUCGCUGGCCGGCUGGCUGUCCCGCGCCGCCGACCCGCCGGCGCCCAAGCUCUGCGGCUCGCCGGGCGGCCCGCCCGUGACCGCGCCCCGGGUCGCCCUGCGCGACGGGAGGCACCUGGCCUACUGCGAGAGCGGCGUCCCCAAGGAGCAGGCUCGCUUCAGGGUCGUCUUCUCCCACGGCUUCACCGGCUCCCGCGAGGACAGCGUCCGCGCCACCCAGGAAGUGGCCGAAGAGCUAGGCGUGUACAUGGUGGGUUUCGACCGUGCCGGAUAUGGCGAGAGCGACCCUAACCCUAACCGAUCUGUGAAAAGCGCUGCGCUCGAUGUCGAGGAGCUCGCUGACGCGCUUGGAUUGGGCCCUAAAUUCUACGUGAUCGGCAUAUCCCUUGGCUGCCAUGCUGUCUGGGGCGCCCUCAAGUACAUCCCUGAAAGGAUUGCUGGAGCUGCAAUGAUGGCUCCGGUGGUGAACUACUGGUGGCCGGGCUUCCCUGCGGAUCUCGCCGCGGAGGUGUACAACAAGCAGGAGGUCGGCGACCAGUGGGCGCUGCGCGUGUCACAUUACGCCCCUGGCAUCCUCCACUGGUGGAUGGACCAGAGCUGGCUGCCCACCUCCACCGUCGUGGCCGGCACCACGCCGCUCCCCAACAAGCGCGACGCCGAGAUCCGCGCCAAGCUCAAGGCCGACGGCACGUUCCAGCAGAAGAUGGAACUGGCGACACAGCAGGGCAUCCACGAGUCGUACUACCGCGACAUGAUGGUGAUGUUCGGCAAGUGGGAGUUCGACCCGAUGAGCCUGCCGAAGCCGCCUUGCCCCGUCCACAUCUGGCAGGGCGACGAGGACGGUCUGGUGCCCGUGGUGCUGCAGAGGCACAUCGCCAGCCGGCUCAGCUGGGUGAACUACCAUGAGCUCCCCGCGACCGGGCAUUUCCUGUCGCCGGUCCCUGGGCUAGGUGACACCGUUCUUCAGACCCUUUUCGGCAAUGCUAAGCAAUGA
rnacentral:rRNA from 1 species